GCAUAUAUGUGACAGUUUUGGCCC
rnacentral:siRNA from 1 species